rnacentral:lncRNA from 1 species
GUCAAUCAAGUACAUAAAUAACAUUACAUCAUCCAAACACUCAUGGCCCGUUUACGAUGCCAAAAUAAAAGAUAACCCAACAUGCGACACGGUCCCGAUCACCCCAACUGGGAACCGCUACUGAUCAUCAGGGAAAGACACGUAGUAACGUUGAGAGUCCUUGUCGAACUCCCACUUGAGCUCAAGCGCGCCACCUGGAGCGGAAUCAUCAGGCCCUGCAUCUGGUUUGGAAGUAAUCUGUGAGCCACAGGGACUCAGCAAUCUCGCACCCUCGCGAUCAAGACUAUUUAAGCUUAAUAGGAAAGGUAAGGUAAUUAUGUGGAGCUGCAGCAAGCGACUAGCAUAUAUGGUGGCUAACCUGUUCGCAAAAAAGAGCGAGAAGAGAAGGCAAAGCGCGAACGCAUAACUAAAGAGGGCAACCUGCGGCAAGCAUUACUCCAACACCGUGUCCACUUCCCGGACUCCACCGAGAAGAGGCCAUCAUGGUAACACACUCAGUUGAUUCAUUUUAAUUAAGUUAAGGUUCAAGUUAUCUACAACCGGACAUUAACAAAUUCCCAUCUGCCCAUAACCGCGGGCACGACUUUCGAAAGUUCAAAUCCCUGCAGGGGAGUCUCAACUUAGCCCAUGACAAGCUCUCACGGUCAAUGAAGGAAUAGACCUCCUCCCGAGACGUUUUGAUCAGACUCGGUAUCUUGGUUCUUCAAGACACUUCGACAGGUUAAAACUAAUCCAGCAACACUGCCCGAAUGUGCCGACAAAUCCCGAUAGGAGCUGCACAUAUCUCGUUCUCAGGGCACACUCAGAUGAGCGCUCCAUACAACUAAAACCAAACCUCGAGUUUCCCCGAGGGGGCGCUGCACAGGACUCUAGUUUGGACCAACACUCAGAGGAGCACUGGCCCAGGGGGGGCUAAAAUAAGAUGACCCUCGGGCUCCGGAAACCCAAGGGAAAAAGAGGCUAGGUGGCAAAUGGUAAAACCAAGGUUGGGCAUUGCUGGAAAAGCUUUAAUCAAGGCGAACUAUCAAGGGGUUCCCAUUAUAACCCAACCGCGUAAGGAAGGCAAAAUCCGGGAACAUAACACCGAUAUGACGGAAACUAGGGCGGCAAGAGUGGAACAAAACACUAGGCGAGAGGCCGAGCCUUCCACCCUUUACCAAGUAUAUAGAUGCAUUAAGAUAACAAGAUAAUAUAAUGAUAUCCCAACAAGUAAAUAAGGUUCCAACAAGGAACGGUCUCCAAUCUUCACCUGCAACUAGCAACGCUAUAAGAGGGGCUGAGCAAAGCGGUAACAUAGCCAAUCAAUGGUUUGCUAGGACAUGGUGGGUUAGAGGUUUGACAUGACAAUUUGGGAGGCUUGAAAGCAAGUGGUAGGCAUCGUAGCAUUGGCAUAGCAAAAGAGCGAGCAUCUAGCAUAGCAAAGAUAGUAGUGAUUUCGAUGGUAUGAUCAUCUUGCCUGCAAAGUUGUCAGAGUUGACUGGAUCCUCGAAAGCAAACUCAACAGGCUCCUCAUUAGCGAACUCGUCUCCCGGCUCUACCCAAACAAGACAAACAAGCAACAAGGGCACAAUCAACCACGUGCAAAGCUCAAACGAUAUGAUGCAAAGAUGAUAUGCUAUGCGGGAUUCGAUGCGGGAUACAUAUGCAAGAUUUGACAAGGGAUGCAUGAACCUGGCCUCAACUUGGAAAUCCAAGUGUGCCACUAGAAAGAUGAGAUGAAAUUGCUUGAAAACGAUAUAGAGAACGCCGGAAUCGGAGUUACGGUUUGGAAAUGGCAAGCAAUUCAAAUAUGGCCACGUUCUGCGAUUUACAACAAGUAGCCAUCUAAAUGCAAUGAGCUGAACAUGCUACAGCAUUCAAACAUGACAACAAAAUACAUGGCAGGGAUGCAUUCAUGAUGCUUAACAAAAGUCUAGCACUGAGCUACGGCCAAUUCAUCCAUUAACAGGUUCAAACAAGCAUGUCAAAAAUGCAUAUGGAAAACAGAUCUUAGACUUAGUGAAAUUAACACUCGUCUGGAAUUUCAGAUCAGGUAGCACACUUUGGAGCAACAAAACUAUAUGCUACAGGACCUGAACAUAGCAAAGUAAAGCAUGGCAUGGAGUUACUCAAAGAGCUUAACAAAAGUCCCUUAGUGACCUUGAGCCAAAAGGGAUCAGAAAAUACAAUUGCAAGCAUGUGAACAUGGCAAAAACAUAAUCAGUUCUCAGACUUAGUGAAAACUGGAGCAUGCUGAAACAGAUAUCAAGUAGGCAUGUUUACGAGCUCGAUGGACUCACUACGGAGCAAGUCAUGACUAGAUAAGCAUACACCCAUCAAGAAUACACAAAAUGCAAGCUAGACAUGGCAAGAACAAUAGCAUAGCAUGUACGGAUUAACUACAACAUCCUCGGCAAAAUCGCUAACAAGUAGACAAUCUGCCCAGAUUCACGAAGUAGCAAAAGUAGAGCUCGAUUGACUCAAGAUAGGGUGCUCCAUAAUUGCAAACAAAGACAUGGAUGGAUAGAGCACUACAAGAUUAACAAAACAUCCUUACUGAUCAUCCUCAAAAGAGGCACGGAUCACUAGGAAACAACAUGAACAUAUGGCCAUAUGAGAUAAACAGGUCAAGGACUUAGUGGAAAUGCUAAGUCCCUGAAAUCAGAAUUACCAAGUGUCUCACUUUGCAAGCUUGUGCUAGUCACCACACACAUCACAAAAAUACAUGGGUUGCACCUCUGGAAAGAUGGCAAAACCCUUAACAAAACAUAUGUAGAGCUCAUGGGCAUAUCAUGCACACAAUAAUCAUGGCAAAAAUGACAAAUAUCUAAAUGGAGCAGCAUAUCUGACAAUUAUCUCAAGUAGCACUCUUCUAACAGCAUUUCGGGCAUCAAGAUGAACUCAAAUGAAAAUGAUGCAAUGGAAUGAAAUGAUGUACUCUCUGAGACGAACAUUUUGAUAUGCUAUAUGCCCAAAACAGAGCUACAGAUGCGGAGUUACGGCAUGAUGAACAUGAGCAUUUGAAACUGGGAAUUUCGGGGACUUGGGAAAAAUAUACCCUCUGAAAAAUAGAUCUAGGGUUUGGCAUGGAAACCGAGGCACUCGCCGGAGCUUCACGGGAGGAGGGCGCGGGGCGGCGCCGGGAAAGUCAGAGGAGGCGGAUCCGGCCGGAUCCCGCCGGAUCCGGGCGCGGCAGGGCCGGAGGAGCAGCGGGCCNNNNNNNNNNNNNNNNNNNNNNNNNNNNNNNNNNNNNNNNNNNNNNNNNNNNNNNNNNNNNNNNNNNNNNNNNNNNNNNNNNNNNNNNNNNNNNNNNNNNNNNNNNNNNNNNNNNNNNNNNNNNNNNNNNNNNNNNNNNNNNNNNNNNNNNNNNNNNNNNNNNNNNNNNNNNNNNNNNNNNNNNNNNNNNNNNNNNNNNNNNNNNNNNNNNNNNNNNNNNNNNNNNNNNNNNNNNNNNNNNNNNNNNNNNNNNNNNNNNNNNNNNNNNNNNNNNNNNNNNNNNNNNNNNNNNNNNNNNNNNNNNNNNNNNNNNNNNNNNNNNNNNNNNNNNNNNNNNNNNNNNNNNNNNNNNNNNNNNNNNNNNNNNNNNNNNNNNNNNNNNNNNNNNNNNNNNNNNNNNNNNNNNNNNNNNNNNNNNNNNNNNNNNNNNNNNNNNNNNNNNNNNNNNNNNNNNNNNNNNNNNNNNNNNNNNNNNNNNNNNNNNNNNNNNNNNNNNNNNNNNNNNNNNNNNNNNNNNNNNNNGCGGGCCGGCGAUGGGGGUUGCGACCGAGCCAACGGGGACGUGACACGUGGCGGCGGCGGCUAGUCGGACAUGUCCGACUCGGCACGGACGUUGUCCGGCGGCGCGGGGAGGAAGAUGGUUAGGGUUCAUCCGCGAAUUUCGGGAGGGGAACACAUAUUUAUAGGUAGAGGGAGCUAGGAGAGUCCAAAUGAGGUGCGGUUUUCGGCCACGCGAUCGUGAUCGAACGCUCUAGAUGAUGGAGAAGGUUUAGGUGGGUUUUGUGCCAAAUUGAAAGGGUGUUGGGCUGCAACACACACGAGGCCUUUUCGGUCCCUCGGUUAACCGUUUGAGCAUCAAACAAAGUCCAAAUGGUACGAAACUUGACAGGCGGUCUACCGGUAGUAAACCAAGGCCGCUUGGCAAGUCUUGGUCCAAUAUGGAAAUGUUUAAUCCCCACACAUGAAAGAAAGGUAGAAAUGACCACCGGAGGAGAACGAAGCACCGGAAUGCAAAACGGACAACGGGGAAAAUGCUCGAAUGCAAGAGAUGAACACGUAUGCAAAUGCAAUGCACAUGAUGACAUGAUAUGAGAUGCAUGACAAUGAUAACAACACACGGAGACAAAAACCCGAACCCGAGAAAAUAAAAUAACUUAAGGCCGGAAACGACAAGAGUUGGAGUACAAAUUGGGUAAGUUACAUCCGAGGUGUUACAUCUAUGUACUCCAGCGCGACUCCCUCCGGGAGUAUCGCCGCCUUUUUGCUCUGUUGCAGAUAUUUGGCCAUGGAUGUCGCCGUCGCCGCUAGUUGGUCCUUGUUGUCAAACCAAGACUGUAUCUCCAACAUCCUAGCUAGCUUCACAUGGUCGCCAUCUGCGAUCCUCACGUAUCGGUUGUACUCUCCAUCGAUCUACUUCUCCACAGCACCUUCACUCGCCGGAGGUGGUUUAUGAAUGGAAGAGGAGAUGAGCAGCGCUGGUUUUGGAUUAGAACGGGAGAGGAGCGACGCUGGUUUUGGACUGGAACAGGAGAGGAGGGGCGGUGGUUUUGAAAUGGAAGAGGAGAGGAGCGGCGCUGCAUUUAGAUUGGAACAGGAGAGGAGCGACGGUGGUUUAAGAGGAGAAGAGCGGAAGAGCGGCGCUGGUCUUGGAAGUAUUUUUUUGUUGUUUUGCGUAUUUUGGGUCAAAGUUUGACCACGUACUGUAUUUGACAAGCAAAAUGUGAAUGCAUGUCACCAAAAAUUGUAUCAUUUGGUCAACGUAUAACGUAUAUUUUAUGUGCGAAAAUCAUGGUCAAUUAUGACCCAGAAUAAAAGGAAGACUAGUUAAUGUGGGGUCGCUUUCUUAAUUGAAGGGUAAAUUGAUUUUGAUUUUGAUCCAGUCACAGCGCGCCAGCCCUCUUGUCCAAUCCUAAAUCGCUGUCGCACGCUCCUGUCCCUCUUCUCCAUUGCAAAACCACCUCCUCUUCUCUCCAUCAUCUCCAUUCCAAAACCACCGUCUCGCCUCUCCCUCUUCUGAUCUUCUCCAUUGCAAAACCACCUCCUCUCCUCUCCAUCAUCUCCAUUCCAAAACCACCAUCUCGCCUCUCCCUCUUCUGAUCUUCUCCAUUGCAAAACCACCUCCUCAUGCACGUGGCCCGGAGGCGUAGUUGUCGUCAUUUUGAUCUGAAGCACCGGAUUAUAACAUAUUACACGAAAAAAUGCCACAUGACAAGAAAUCAUAACCUCACUGCCCAAAGGAGACAACAUGAAUCCCGACGAACAAACUAGACGAGGAACAAAGCUCAAAUUAAAGAUAAACUCGUAGAAAAGGGGUCCGUCGAUAAAUGUCCUAAUUAACAUAGCCGGCUUGACCUAGAUGGCAGCCGAGUAGUCACUGUUCGUGCAUGUGCCCCCAAUGACUAGCCCAACUCAGUUGUCAUUGUUUAACCCUCGCAGUGAUCCGAAGCACAUGACACCUAAUUUUGCGAGAUGACAAGAAACCUUUUCUUAGAUUUCUCACCACAACUACAGCCAUGUACAACACAGCCUGCACGAUAUGUAGACGAUAGCCAAUCCAGGCGUGUCUGCUGGAGUCUGGUCACAUGCAUGGACGAACUGAUCUUCUGUGUCUUGCAGGGAUCGUCCAGGCACCAACGUAGUACAACACUUCUCUAGUACUAUCGCUCAUCUCCCUCUUCUAUUAAGUCACCCGACUUGCGGGGCCGGGGAGUGUGCCUAUGGUCAGUUCUCAAUUGCCGUCCCACAUGUGUGUGCAAACGCAAUAUGACGCGCGUUCCAUUCGGAGAGCAGCGUGCCAGACCGAUCGACCGUCUGGGGUGCGACGCGAACGCGACGUGCGUGUCGUAUACUCCGUACAUGUGUAGCGCCGUUUUCUAGACGCUUUGCUCCAUGGCGCGGGUGCAAUCCAUGGGUACAAAAUUAGUAUACUGUAUACUAUUUAAAAGUCGAGGGCGGGGCUUUUCCUGCACGGUAGGCGGCGGGGCAGUUCCGCCUAGUCGGUUCGACAGAGACGCGAGAAGACGAGGGAGUAGGCUGCUGCAAACGUAGGGCUGUGUGAUUUGACAGCGAGUUGCUGCUGGACAGGUGGGGCCCCGUGAUUUGACUUGCCAUUAUCAUUUUAACUGUGGCGCUACGACCGGCGUGAGUCUCUCGAUUCCUGACCACCUCCAUUACAAAGAAAGAGAUAGAGAGGAGUAAAAAAACACUUAUAGCCAACCUUGUUCUAGUAUGAGUGACUAAGUGAUGACUAUAUAUGACAUGCCAACAUCAGAUAGCCUAACGCACCGUGUUAAAUCUCCAAGGGCGUGACCGCGGGAGCGACGCGAUGGUUGUGGUAGGCGCGACCAUGAUACGGGCUGCUGGCAGCCCUUGGAUCUGAGAUCAAACGGUCGCAUGCUAAGUUGCUGAAAAAUUGCAGAAUAACCCUCCAAGAUAGGAUAUUCACCCAUAGGUCUAGAAUCACGCCAUGCAACCGUUCGAUCUCAGAUCCAAGGGCUCUCGGAAGCCCGUAUCAUGGGAGAAUGGAAAGCCACUACCCUGCCGUUCGCAUGCUGGCAGUUCGCUCCUACUCGUCCCCACACGUCCUUCAAUACUACGACGGUUCGCUCCUAGUCGUCCCGUCCAUUCACAUUACGGCAGUUCCACUAAUCCUAACCCUCCUCCCAAAUCCAUGGCAUCUCAAAUCUCCACGAUCGGCGGUGAGUACAAGGUUAGAACCAUCACCGGCGAUGAGUUCGACGUCAUCUACACCCGUUCUUCCGCGACGGUGAAAGGAUACCUUUCUCGCUUCAGACGCAUGUUCGAAAACUCAGAUGAUGAGUGGGUCGCCGGGCUAGAUGUUGAGUACACCACAGUCCCGGGACCAGAUAAGGAUCUAAAGGACGAAGAGAGGAAGAAGCCCGCCGUGAUCCAGGUUUGCAUACAUAAUGUUUGCUUGGUCUACCACAUAUGCCAUGCCGGCGUUGAGUGCCAGGAUUUUAAGAACUUCCUCAAGGACAAAACAGUGAAAUUCGUUACUAUAGACUUUAAGAAUGACAGGGAUGUCCUGCGUCGGAUAGGUCUCGUUGUAGGUAACCCCUUCGACCUCCAGAAGAAUCGGCCGGUGUUCUCUCGUCAGCCUUCAAUGCUAACCCUGGAAGGAGCCAUGGUUCAUCCUUCGUACGGUAAACUGGAGAAACCUCCAUACACGUUUCAUCGUCAUGCAUGGCAGUGGAAUGUACUAGAUAUAGACCACAUCCACUACGCUACAAUGGAUGGCUGUGACGCCCCCAAUUUGACCGUACACUAAUCAUACACGCAAACGUGUACGAUCAAGAUCAGGGACUCACGGGAAGAUAUCACAACACAACUCUACAAAUAAAAAUAAGUCAUACAAGCAUCAUAUUACAAGCCAGGGUCCUCGAGGGCUCGAAUACAAGAGCUCGAUCAUAGACGAGUCAGUGGAAGCAACAAUAUCUGAGUACAGACAUAAGUUAAACAAGUUUUCCUUAAGAAGGCUAUCACAAACUGGGAUACAGAUCAAAAGAGGCGCAGGCCUCCUGCCUGGGAUCCUCCUAAACUACUCCUGGUCGUCGUCAGCGGGCUGCACGUAGUAGUAGGCACCUCCCGAGUAGUAGUAGUCGUCAUCGACGGUGGCGUCUGGCUCCUGGGCUCCAACGUCUGGUCGCAACAAUCGAGUAUAGAAAGGGGGAAAAGAGGGAGCAAAGCAACCGUGAGUACUCAUCCAAAGUACUCGCAAGCAAGGAGCUACACUACAUAUGUAUGCAAUGGUAUCAAAUGGAAUAAGGGUAUCAUAUGUGGACCGAACUGCAGAAAGCCGGAAUAGGGAUAACUAGUCCUGUCGAAGACUACGCUUCUGUUAACCUCCAUCUUGCAGCAGGAGAAGGUAAGUUCACCAAGUAGCAUCGUGUAGCAUAAUCCUAACCGAUGAUCCUCCCCUCGUCGCCCUGUGAGAGAGCGAUCACCGGUUGUAUCUGGCACUUGGAAGAGUGUGUUUUAUUAAGUAUCCGAUUCUAGUUGUCAUAAGGUCAAGGUACAACUCCAAGUUGUCCUGUUACCGAAGAUCACGACUAUUCAAAUAGAUUAACUUACCUGCAGGGGUGCACCACAUAACCCAACACGCUCGAUCCCAUUUGGCCGGACACACUUUCCUGGGUCAUGCCCGACCUCGGAAGAUCAACACGUCGCAGCCCUACCUAGGCACAACAGAGAGGUCAGCACGCCGGUCUAAAUCCUAUGGCGCAGGGGUCUGGGCCCAUCGCCCAUUGCACACCCGCAUGUUGUGUACGCGGCCGGUGAGCAGACCUAGCCUCCCUUAUACAAGAGUAGGCGUUCCAGUCCAACCGGGCGCACGCCGCUCAGUCGCUGACGUCACGAAGGCUUCGGCUGAUACCACGACGUCGAGUGCCCAUAACUGUCCCCGCGUAGAUGGUUAGUGCGUAUAGGCCAGUAGCCAGACUCAGAUCAAAUACCAAGAUCUCAUUAAGCGUGUUAUUUUGAAAUAACCACGAACGCCGACCAGGGCCAGGCCCACCUCACUCCUAGGUGGUCUCAACCUGCCCUGUCGCUUCACCACAAAGAUCCACACAGAGGGCCGUCGGGAAAGUAUGUCCUUCCAGCCCUCAAUUCAUGAGUCAACCGCGGGUACUCCUCGAGCCAACCCGACUUUAGUCAUCACAUGUAUCAUGUAUAAAGUAUAUAGUAUAUACCCGUGAUCACCUCCCGAGUGAUCACGACCCGAUAGUAUAGCAUGGCAGACGGACAAGAAUGUAGGGCCACUGAUGAUAAACUAGCAUCCUAUACUAAGUAUUAGGAUUGCAGGUAAAGGUAACAACCAUAGUAGUAAGGACAGGCUAUGCAUCAGGAUAGGAUUAACGGAAAGCAGUAACAUUCUACACUACUCUAAUGCAAGCAGUAGAGAGAAGAAUAGGCGAUAUCUGGUGAUCAAAGGGGGGGCUUGCCUGGUUGCUCUGGCAAGAGAGAGGGGUCGUCAACACCGUAGUCGUACUGGGUAGCAGCGGCGUCGGUCUCGAUGUCUAGCAGAGAAGAGGGGGAAGAAACAAUAAAUAUAAUGCAAACAAAUGCAUGACGAUGCGUGAUAUGACAAAGAGUGAUGCUAGGUGUGCCCUAACACGGUAUGAGGUGGUACCGGUGAAAGGGGGAAACAUCCGAAAAAUAUCCCCGGUGUUUCGCGUUUUCGGGCAAAGGAGUCGGAGGGGGAAAGUUGCGUGGUUGCUAUGCUAGGGAUGCGUGUCAGAUGAAUGGGCUGCGUAUCCGGGUUCGUCUCGUCGUUCUAAGCAACUUCCAUGUACAAAGUUUUUCCAUCCGAGCUACGGUUUAUUUUAUAUUAAUUUUAAAAGGAUUUAAUCAUUUUCUAGAAUUAACAGAAUUAAUUUAAUCCUAAACGCAUUGAUGACGUCAGCAUGACAUCAGCGGUCAGCUUUGACCUUUGACUAGUCAAGCUGACAGGUGGGUCCCGUUUGUCACUGAUAAAGACUAACUAAUCAGGAUUAACUAAAUUAGUUAAAUGAUUAGGUUAAUUUAAUCACAAUUAAUUAACUUAGUUAACUAAUUGAUUAAUUAAUUAAUUAUAUUUUUUUAUUACUUAUUAUUAUUUAUUUUUAAUCCCCUUUUUUACUGUUCUGCGGUGGGCCCCACUUGUCAUUGGCCCUAGGGGCCUUAGUGGGCACAGGGCGGUGCGAGGGCAGGGGCACGACCACGAGCGCCCGAUAAGGAGCCCGGGCGCUGGCCUCCGGCGAGACCAACGGCGCGGUCGCCGGUGCCCACGACACCGGCCAGGGGAGGCGACGGAGGUGCGGGACUAAGGCGAGGGGAGCAGGGCGCAGGGGCCGGAGCACCGGAGUUGGCCGCGGGCGUGGCGGCGUCGCUGACGCAGGGGGGUUGCAGGACGGGGCGUGGCCAGUGGUCAGGGCGGCCACGGUAGCCGGCCGGCGUGGGGAGUGGGCAGGCCGCGCGACCACGGGCGCGGUGGAUGCGACAUGCGGGGCUGGGCGCGCGCAUCGCGGCGCGGUGGGCGCGGUGGGGAGAGGAGGAGAGGCGAGAGACCCGGGGCCUCACCGGCGUUGAAGAGGAGAGGGGCGGCGAGGCUCAUGCGGCGGCUUGGGGAGGAGACGAGGAGGCCACGGCGAGGUCGAUCCGGUGAGGGGCAACAUCGGUGGGGCGCCUGGUUUGGCAAACGGCAACGGCGCGAGGUCGGGGAUGGCGCGGUGAGGGGAGGCUCCAAGCGACAGCGGGGUGGGGCAGUGAGGCGAUGGCGUGAUGGUCCGACGAGGUCGGCGGCUGGGCCGGGGUGCGCCGGGUUCGUUCCCUCCUUCCCGAUACAGAACAGGAUCGAGAGGUGGGGGGAGAGACGAGGGAGAGUGGGGCAAGUGGGAGGAGUGG